GGGACAGGGAGAGGCGUGGAAUUGGCGGAGGCAGUCAGUGGCUCGCCGCGCGCCACAACGACAGCCGGACAUCGGCGUUGACUUUUUCUACUUAUCUCGGUGCGCCUCGGACUCGCGAGGGACUCUACUUGUUUCGUCGACGGUGAUUUCGCGCUUGAAAAAAAAGAAAAUCGAUUUUUCGACGUACAUAUGAAAGAUAAGCGACCUACUCUAGUGUAGUUUUGACGUUUUUCAUGCUUUUAUUUAACGCGUUGCUGAAGUUUCUUCCUCCUUUGGUGCAUUUUUUUUUUGUACACACACGAUUUACCGGUCGCGUCGUAAAAUCAAAAGGAGAAUUUUUGAACGACGACAAGAGCCAAGAGCAGUAAUUCGACGUGUACCGAGCUUUACGGCACAGAUCGGAUAGCAGGAAUGCUCGAGCGAGCAGAGAAUUCCUAGUUAAGAUCUCUCAGCUUUGAUGAAACGUCUCGUUCGACCUCCUGUUUCGAACGACGAUCAUUGUGUGCGUUAGAGAGGCUCUAUCGUGCUGUACUUUGUGUAUUUAAUCAGUGAAGAAAAUUAUAUGUGAAUUUUGUGAAACGUGAUUAAUGAGCGGAUAUGUAACUCGAUCUCUUUACGAGGACCACAUCUUUGAAUCUCGAGACUCGAGUCGACGAUUUACCGAUUGUGCGAAAAUACAGUAGUGUUGGAGAGCAAUUCUUGACAUCUGGAUAACAAGCGAAAGGGCGUUGAUUUUCUCGACGAUAAUUAGCGUACAUGACACACGUGUAACGAGAACAUCAAAAGAAAGGAUAGAAGUAUCGGCCGGAAAUCUGAGGCUGCGGAGCCUUUCAAGGGGAGUAUCGAGGCCACAACUGAAGAUCCGAA